UAACUCAAAAAGGUCUUUUCUCAUUGGUUGUAAUGGGGCUAAGGACCAUUCAUGAUGUUAGCAAGAUCCUAGGGGUCCUAAGCUUAAACAUUGAAAAUCAAAGUGUGCAUAUCUAAUCCAAACCAUCAUCCACAAAUUCAAGUUCAUAGAGAAAGAAAGCAACCAAACUUUGGGGAAAAACUCCAAAAAUAACAAUGACACCACA
rnacentral:lncRNA from 1 species